rnacentral:rRNA from 1 species
AAAGACCCCGUGGAGCUUUACUGUAGCCUGAUAUUGAAAUUCGGUACAGUUUGUACAGGAUAGGUAGGAGCCUUAGAAGCGUGAGCGCUAGCUUACGUGGAGGCAUUGGUGGGAUACUACCCUAAUUGUAUUGGAUUUCUAACCCGCAGCACUUAUCGUGCUGGGAGACAGUGUCAGGCGGGCAGUUUGACUGGGGCGGUCGCCUCCUAAAAAGUAACGGAGGCGCUCAAAGGUUCCCUCAGAAUGGUUGGAAAU